UUUUGGGAAAAGGUGAAGUAUAAAUAGGAAUACUGCUGACAUAUUUUGGAAAAUGCUACUUUAUCCCUUUUGAUUUCCAUGAGUGCUUCAGAAGACUUUUCGAAUGACAUUGGAUGACAGUUCUAAAUAUUAGUUUGGAAUGUAGCCAUCAAGGAGAAGUCUAGGAUAAAGAAGUCAAAUGAGAAUAAAGCCAAAUCACUUCAUCCAUGGAAGGAGAAAGAAUGCUGGAGCAGGAAGCCCAGUGGAAUAUUAUAAGCAGGUGUGUCUGGUACUGGUCCAGGAAGAAAACACAGCAAAUAGCCCUGGAAAACAAGGAGCUUUAGCUUGAGGGUCCAGCGCCCCUCCCCCAGCUUUCAUCCCCGCUCAACCUCAGAGAUGAGCAAAUACAGCUUCAGAAGGGGCCGACCACUAAAAGGAGGACCACUGCAACAGGUGGAAUAAUUUCUAAACUCCUGUUGUCCUUCUUUGUUUGGAUAACUCCAUCCUUUUUCUCAGUCUAUCUGAAGGAGAUUGAACCGUGCCAUUAUUUAGUCUUAUUUUCUUUGGGACCUGGAAGGCAGCCUUGCUAUCAUUUACCUAGUUUUCAGCCAUGUGGACACAAAUCAAAACUCUAUCAGGAAAGUAAUAGGUGUCACUUGUCCCUGUUUUGAGGACUGAUGGAGGCUCAGCAGUCAUCCUGCCACAAGGAAUUGAAGGAAGUCAAUCUCUGUUUCAUUGUCCUGAAGCUAUUUCUCACCGAAGGGACGCUGGAUUUUUACCCACUUCGAUUAAUGAAAGAAACUUCUAGUUCUGGCACUCUUUGUUAGGAGGAAAGAUAAAUAAGGAAAGGAUUUACCUACAACCCGGCCUCGUGAUGAAAUAAUGAAUGGUCAGUGCCAGGAGGUUUUAGAAAGCAGGGUUCUUCCUUCUUCUCUCAAGUGGUCCAGAUGUUGGAACCUCACCUCUGGGAGGACGUGUUCCAAAGCACAUCCAGGUCUCCCAGUGGGAUCACGUGGAAACUUCAGUGGGCCCUGCUGUAUUCUAAGUGGGGGUGUCACUCUGAGGUUGUCAAAUCUCCCAGGGAACCAUGGGGUGAUGGUCUCUAUGCAUCCCGCCUGACGUGUGGUGGGCAUGAAUGCUGCCUUGUGUGGUACGGCAUAUUUGGUUUGCUUCCUAGCAGUGUUUAUCUGGCUUGUUUUUUUGUCCUUGGGAGUUUUGCUAAGAAUGGUGAUGAGUGGACAGUCAACAAUCCCGGAAUCUGGGUUAGAUAAACUCCAUGACUUGGACAGCUUCUACAAGUCUUCUCAAAAAGGGUCUUACGGCCUCAGAAAAUGAGCUUGAAAUGUAUUUUGGUCUCACUCAAAAGAAAUCCCCAAUUCUGCAGCUCUUUUUGUGACAAUAUCUUGCUAGCAGAGAGCACCCUUAGGACAGGACCUUCCUGGGAUGGCUCCCUUGUCCUCGUGCUCAGAAAGAAGUGGACAGCAAGUUGGGGUCAGUGAUCGCCUCUAUUCCGGGCUGUGGAUGAAGCAUUCUUCUCUGAGGUAGGGCAUCAGGGUGGGUAUAUCUGGGGAAAGAGGUGAGAUAAUGAGAUAAUAGCAGGCCAGUGGACCCGGAAGAAUCCUAAUUCCCCCUCAGCCCAUCUCCCCUUCCCCUGAGGUCUGCGAGGGAGGUACAUGCUCAGAGGACAAUCUCCUGGGGGAUCGGUGUAUCCCAGCUGCAGCUCUGAUCUCACGCGCUAAGCUCCAGCAUGGUCUUCAGAGCUGGCAAAGGUUGGAUCACGUGGUGAACCAACCUUGGCCUGAAAGAUUAGGCCAGAGAAACCAUUUUACCCUGAGGCUGAGAUGUAGUUGUUCCUGGUGUUCGUCCCAGGCCACCCAAAUGUCGGGGAAGCUCACCCGUGAACUUCUAACCUCAGCCCCAUGAGGAGAAGAAGACAAAGCGAGCUUAGAAAAGCCAAGGAGAGGUGGUGGUCUGGGAAUCCAGCCAAACUGCAAAGAAAAUCUCCCAAAGAGAAAAUCCAUACCCUCUGCUUGACCUUUAACUUCCUGACUUUAGGGCUGUAGCCCAGGGGACUGUUCGUUCAUUUCACCUACCUCUUCUUGUGUGAACUGGGGAAAGGGGGGUGGAUAGGGAGAUGCGGAGGGACAGGAGGCUUGAGGCAGCAGUCCCUCCAUCCUUGAUUUCUCUCUGAGAGGCCAAGGGGCUUAAUACUGGACUUGGGAUCAAGCAGGAGCAUUGCUUUUCCUCUAACUCCAGGAUGUGGGCAUGAGCAAUGUGUUAGGGGAGGCCUGCUCACAUCACCUUGGGUGUAGAUUCCCCAGUCCUUACCAACAUACCUGAGCCCCAUCAAGGACCGGUGAAUGCCUUUUUAAUAGUUCCGCUGAAAGACUUCAAGCUGACCAGAACACUCUUGCAGACAGGCUGCCUGGUGAACAUGUACGCACAAGGUGGGGAAGAGCUGUCUCUGCUCAUUUCAUCUAGUCCCAGGGUCCGCAGAGAUCCUCUAGGGGGUGGGGGCUCCCACAGGGGGACCCCCAGCACAUGACAGCACAAGUUAAAUAGUACAGUUCUGCAAAGGAAAAAAAAAUCUCACUUAUAUGUGGAAUCUAAAAAACAAACAAAGGAAAAAC
rnacentral:lncRNA from 1 species